AUUGAACGCUGGCGGCAUGCCUUACACAUGCAAGUCGAACGGCAGCACGGGAGCAAUCCUGGUGGCGAGUGGCGAACGGGUGAGUAAAGUAUCGGAACGUGCCCAGUCGUGGGGGAUAACGUAGCGAAAGUUACGCUAAUACCGCAUACGAUCUAUGGAUGAAAGCGGGGGAUGGCAAGACCUCGCGCGAUUGGAACGGCCGCUAUCAGAUUAGGUAGUUGGUGGGGUAAAGGCUCACCAAGCCGACGAUCUGUAGCUGGUCUGAGAGGACGACCAGCCACACUGGGACUGAGACACGGCCCAGACUCCUACGGGAGGCAGCAGUGGGGAAUUUUGGACAAUGGGCGAAAGCCUGAUCCAGCCAUGCCGCGUGCAGGAGGAAGGCCUUCGGGUUGUAAACUGCUUUUGUACGGAACGAAAAGGUUUGGCCUAAUAAGCUGAGCUCAUGACGGUACCGUAAGAAUAAGCACCGGCUAACUACGUGCCAGCAGCCGCGGUAA
rnacentral:rRNA from 1 species